AUAUUUUCAAGCAUUCCAAAAAUCAACUACAUAAAGUAACAGGUGAUUGCAAACAAAUGUUGCUAUUUCUAUCAUGGAUUCGUUUAUGGUUGUGUAUUGGUUGUUUGACAUAUGAGAGUAGUGUGGUUAGACAUUGGUUUGAAAUAUAAUAAUUAUUUUUGUGUGUUUAGGAUGAAUGUGUUGUGUUGAUUGUGGUUACUGAUUAAAACUACCUAUAAUAAUCAUUACUUAGUAAGAAUUGUGGAUGAGGUUUUAUGUAUUUAAUUUGUCUGUCUAAAUAUGGUUGUGUUGAAUGAAGAUUUUGUAAUGUAAAAUGUGACGCUCCCAAAAUCGGUAUACAUCACCCAUCUUGAGUCGUCAAAUACAUGGUACAUAAUUCAAAUACA
rnacentral:lncRNA from 1 species